UUGGAGGGCAAGUCUGGUGCCAGCAGCCGCGGUAAUUCCAGCUCCAAUAGCGUAUAUUAAAGUUGUUGCAGUUAAAAAGCUCGUAGUUGAACUUCAGGCCUGGCUGGACGGUCCGCCUUCCGGGCGAGUACUGUCUGCGGUCGGGUCCUACCUUCUGGCGAAGCGUCAUGGCCUUAACCGGCCGUGGCGGGGAACCAGGACUUUUACUGUGAAAAAAUUAGAGUGUUCAAAGCAGGCAAUUUCGCUUGGAUACAUUAGCAUGGAAUAAUGAAAUAGGACGUUCGAUCCUAUUUUGUUGGUUUCUAGGAUUGACGUAAUGAUUAAUAGGGAUAGUUGGGGGCAUUAGUAUUCAAUUGUCAGAGGUGAAAUUCUUGGAUUUAUUGAAGACUAACUACUGCGAAAGCAUUUGCCAAGGAUGUUUUCAUUAAUCAAGAACGAAAGUUAGGGGAUCGAAGACGAUCAGAUACCGUCGUAGUCUUAACCGUAAACUAUGCCGACUAGGGAUCGGAUGAUGUUAAUUUUUUAAUGACUCAUUCGGCGCCUUACGGGAAAC
rnacentral:rRNA from 1 species